rnacentral:rRNA from 1 species
UACGAAGGGGGCUAGCGUUGCUCGGAAUCACUGGGCGUAAAGGGCGCGUAGGCGGCCAUUCAAGUCGGAGGUGAAAGCCCAGGGCUCAACCCUGGAAUUGCCUUCGAUACUGUCUGGCUAGAGACCGGAAGAGGUAAGUGGACUGCGAGUGUAGAGGUGAAAUUCGUAGAUAUUCGCAAGAACACCAGUGGCGAAGGCGGCUUCACUG